CUCAGUUUUAGAUUGGUUUCCGUACGAUUCGGUCUCAAAAUUUCUGUUCAUUCAGUAUUGUUUUGUAUUUUUUUGUAAUUGAAAAAAUUUAGGUGUCAAUGACAAGAUCCCAGAGAAAAUUCGCGAUCACAGACAAGUUUCUGCCAAGGCUCGCUAAAAACCUGUGCACCAGAAAAGGCAGCCGUCGAGCCAAUACCGGGAACCGGCUAGAACACGCCGUCCUCACCCACAUCCAGCACGUGCCGUAGAUCACCCCAGACCAGACCAGACCGCCCCAUCACCCCCACCACCAGCCCACUAACACCAUGGCCCGCGGUGACGAAUGCAAGACUGCUACCAAAGCUACUCACGCAUGCAAGCAAUUUGACGUCUCAGCCCCUAUCAAAAAACCUGUCGCAGCAUCAAUAAGCAAUCCACCCAAGAAGCCGGAGCAGAAGAACUACGGCGCCUGGGGCUCCACCUUCAAAGACAAGAAAACAUUCCUGGACAUGCAUUUCUGCUGAAUCACCACCGCC
rnacentral:lncRNA from 1 species